UACCGGUCCUCCGCCCCCAAAUCCCGCAUCCCCUACAAUCAUGGAAGGCAAUCGUCCCGAUCCUCAAAUCACACAAAUGAUUUCCUUCCAUGCAUCAUAUCCUGCCUCCUGCCGCUUCUAAACUCAAACACACGCACAAGAAGCCUCAUCGUGGAUCAUGUAAAAAUUGCAGGUGCUACAAUCAGGGGCCCAGCUGCCGUCCUUGGGAGCGGCUCGCCGCCCGGCGCUCCUGCACUCGGCCGCCGCCUAACGCACACCGGCCCCUCCUUAAGGGCGGAGUCUGCGACUGCUAGGCCAUGUGGGAGUGCGGGUGACUCGACUCGAGGCGGUCGGGAUGCGGGAUCCAGGUGUCGGCGGCGCAUCUCGCGAGAUCAGUGGAAGGCGCCGACGGCGACAACGAGGCGACAUGGAGGAGCUCGGGGACGACGCCGGCACUUCUGUAGAUGCUGGGAAUAGGCAGAGGUGACCAGAUCUGGGGCGGCGGCGACAGUUGCAGACGACUUCGGUGGUGGCGUGAUGCCUCCUGCACGGCUGCAUCGGUGGUUAGAGAAUGAAGGAGGAGGAGAGAAAAGAAAAGAGGAGGGCGUGGUGGCGUGGCUCACCGUUUGGUCGCCGGCGGCGGAGGAAGACCCGUGUUUUACCUUCGACGGAUUGUGAGGCCCAAGAAGUUUCAAUGAAAAGAGGAGAUAGCGUUCGUACACAUCACCAGAACCAUAAAGUUCGCUGGAUAUAUAAGUGUAACAUAUCCAUUACAGUGGGGAGCACAAGCUUUUGAUGCUGGUCUUGGCAUUUGUUGGCCUUGCUCAACUGAAGUCUUCUCCGGCAUUGUGUGUGUCUUAAACUCUUAAUUUAGGUCCAACAUUUGGUGAAGGUAUUGCUAUCCAUUUUUUUAGGUUGAAUCUAUGUUCCGAGCACUGGUCAUCAAAAUGGAGUUUCUGCGUUUUCUUCGUACUGGUGAUCACGUGUUCGACCUAAUGCUUGAUCGCUAGCAGUUCUAUUUAACUCCACUAAUUAACUUCUAUGUCAAUAUUGGCCUGCAACUUGGCAACAAAUGGCAGAAAUGACACAACUAUGAGGGCGCCAUUUUAUCCUCCGUGCUUUCUGUUUUUGAUGAUCAUAGAACAGUGAAAGGGGACAAGGCUGCACAUAAAUUUCAUGCUUAGGAAUGAUUUCAAUCUUUCCAUUCCUCAUAACAGUGAGAAGGGCAAUAAGGCUACACUUACAAACUGUGUUCAUGAAAUCAAUAUCAUCAACCAGCAACUCCAAGAUUCAAGUGUGGAUGCGAGUGUGUUUCAGAUUUUAGUCUUCAUACUCCCUUCAGGCUGUUAUCUCUACAGUCUGACGCUGGCUGCUUCUCACUUUUAUGGAUGACGGACUUGGUUUUCUCAUAGUGAAAGUCAUUUAUUGAAUUUUAUUGGUACUGAAAUGGUAUUUGCAUGUGUGUCUGCGCAAAUGGAGAAUAGUGGUGAACCCUUUAAAUUAUUCAUUGUCCAACAAGGGAAUCGAGCUUCUAUUGGAUAAAAUUGUAAUAAUAUGACUUGCAAAUUUUGAAUGAUUGUAUAUUUGACGAAAAAUACGAUUGCCUGAAGUCUUAAUAUAUGUAUGUUUGUCUAGACGUGC